UUUCAUUAGGGUAAAGAAAAGGAGGGGCCCGAAGUAAAGUACAGCAAAACUACAAUCAGCGUCGGUUGACGAAAAAAAAGAAAACCGAAUUUAAGUGGAGGAUGUGCAAAAAGGGGAGGUUGAGUGAAAUUAUACAAAGAGAGUGCAAAUUCUUUCAAAAUGUGAGCAAACUAACAUUCAAGACAUUCGAUCCAUUCUUCUUCUUUUCGGUGAAGCGAAAUGGCCGAGGCUGUUGUUUCCGGUGUCGUGACAAGGAUUGGUGACUUGCUCGUACAAGAAGGAAAAUUCUUGUCCGGGGUGAGUAACCAAGUUGAGCUGCUACAAUCUGAGCUCAAUCUGAUGCAAGGCUUGUUAAAAGAUGCAGAUGCGAGGCAGGAUGAAUCAGAGACUGUAAGACGGUGGGUUGCUGAAAUAAGAGAUCUUGCUUAUAAUGCAGAUGAUAUUAUUGCGACUUAUGCUCUCACAGUUGGAUCCAGAGAGGGAGGAGGUGUACAAAAGGUCCUCAAGAGGUGUAGUUGCAUCUUUGAUGAAGGAAUUACAGUGCACCAGGUUGGGUCAAAGAUUGAAGAUAUCAUGACAAAAAUUUCUAGUUUGAAAACAAGUUUUCGAGACUAUGGGAUAAGAGAAUCUAUGAUAAGAGGAGGCGGAUCCAGUUCUUUUAAUGAGAGGAAGCGAGAGGAAAGGCAAACAUUUUCUCAUCUUGACCAUGACGUCGUUGGGUUUGACGAUGAUCUAAAUAAAUUGGUGGAGUUUUUGCUGAAAGAAGGGGAAGGCAAAAGAGUCGCUUCCAUAUGUGGUAUGGGUGGUCUGGGGAAGACCACUCUUGCCAAGAUGGUUUAUAACCACCCCGAAGUCAAGAAGCACUUUGAGUUCCGCACUUGGUCAUAUAUCUCACAACAAUGUCAAAGAAGACGUGUUUGGGAAGAAAUUCUGAUCAAGCUUCUCUCUCCAACUAAAGAGAAAAGGGAUGAAAUUCAAAAGUUGACAGAUGCAGAGAUCGUUGAGAAACUUCGUGAAGUUCAACUCCAGAAAAAGUGUUUGGUGAUUAUAGAUGAUAUUUGGGAUAUUGAGACUUGGAACAGUCUACGCGAUGCUUUCCCAUUGAAGAAUAUUGGCAGUAAAAUUCUGCUUACCUCUCGUAAUAAACAAGUGUCUUUACAUGUAGACACCAAAGGUUUUCUUUAUGAAUUGCAAACUCUAAGUAAGGAAAGGAGUUGGGAAUUGCUCGAGAAGAUAGCAAUCUCUCGAAUAAAAGACAGUGUGACCAACACUAAUAAGCCUGAUAUCGAAAAAAUAGGGAAGGAAAUGAUUGAGUAUUGUGGAGGUUUACCGUUGGCUAUCACUGUACUCGGAGGCCUUUUAGCGACAAAGCAGACACUAGAUGAGUGGGAGGAUGUGCUUAAACAUAUUAAAUCAUACAUUUUUAAAGAAGAUGACUUACGAGUCAAUAAGGUCUUAAGUUUAAGUUAUAAUGAUUUACCUUGCCACUUGAAACCAUGCUUUCUAUAUUUAGGCCAUUUUCCAGAGGAUUUUGAGAUACUGGCAGAGGAAUUGAUUCAAAUGUGGAUGGGUGAAGGUUUUAUACUGCAAAUUUCACAUGAAGAAGAUAGUGAGGAUACAAUGGAGUACGAGGGAGAACAAUAUUUGUGGGAGCUAAUGCAAAGGUGCAUGGUUCAGGUGGGGGAAAUUAGCAAACUUGGAAGGAUCGAAACUUGCCGAAUCCAUGAUCUUAUGCGAGACUUUUGCAUUUCAAAAGCCCAACAGGAAAAUUUUCUCCAAAUCACCAAGAAAAAUAUUCACUCUAUGGAAGGAAGCCAAAGGCGUAUUGGUAAAAUUAGAAGACUUGCUAUCACUUUGGAAUCAAAUGAUAAUUUCCUCACAAGAAUUAAAUUCAGUGAAUAUCCUUACCUCAGGUUGAAGACUAUGCCAGAUGGAUUGAGGUUCGUCACAACCCUCCGGCAAUUGAAGAUCACAAACAUGUACAAGUCAUUCAAAGAUAAGCUUGACGAAGGAGGACUGGAUUUUGACAAAGUCAAACAUGUGCCUUCCCUUGUAUUUCAAAACUGUGACGGAGAAUGGGCUUCUAAUAGUGAUUACCGCGAUAAUAUUAUGCAUAAUUUUCCGUAAUGUGAAAUCAUCCAUGGUGCAAGAGUUUCUAUUCUGGUUCAAUUCAUGAAGAAUCAACAAAAGAUUUUCAGUACUUUGCAACUUGUACGGAUGAACUGGACAAGUUUGAAAAUACAUUUGGGUUGUGAAGUAAGAGAAUUCCAUGUGUGACAAAGAAAUGAGGCCCUGAUACUAUUGUAAUUAUUAGGGGCUUGUUAGCCAUUACAAAUGAAUGAUAGAAACACAAAAUUUAUUUAGUGAGAGUAGUAUCAAAUGAUUAUUCAUCUUUUAUUAGUGGCAGUGAUUAAUGAGUGUUACUAGAGCUAAAGAUAUCACACCCUCAACCCUGCCUCUUAUCUCUAAAUAUACCUAUGGUUGACAUUAUUGCAUGCAUUGAGUUAAUAACUGUGGAGGAGUUUAA